rnacentral:rRNA from 1 species
UUGACGGGCCCCGCACAAGCAGCGGAGCGUGUGGUUUAAUUCGUUGCUACACGAAGAACCUUACCUGGGUUUGACAUAAUGGCGGUAGGGAUCCGAAAGGUGACGACCCUUCGGGGAGCCAUUACAGGUGUUGCAUGGCUGUCGUCAGCUCGUGUCGUGAGAUGUUCGGUUAAGUCCGCUAACGAGCGCAACCCUCGCCGUAUGUUACAAGUGUCAUACGGGACUGCCGGUAAAAGCCGGAGGAAGGUGAGGAUGAUGUCAAGUCAGCAUGACCUUUAUAUCCAGGGCUACACACACGCUACAAUGGUCUGUACAAUUGGUUGCCAAGCCGCGAGGCGGAGCCAAUCCGUAAAGCAGGCCUCAGUUCAGAUUGCAGUCUGCAACUCGACUGCAUGAAGCCGGAGUUGCUAGUAACCGCAGGUCAGCAAUACUGCGGUGAAUACGUUCCCGGGUCUU